rnacentral:rRNA from 1 species
GACGUGAUCGCAUGGUCGUGUUUGGAAAGAUUUUUCGGUCUGGGAUGGGCUCGCGGCCUAUCAGCUUGUUGGUGAGGUAAUGGCUCACCAAGGCGUCGACGGGUAGCCGGCCUGAGAGGGUGACCGGCCACACUGGGACUGAGACACGGCCCAGACUCCUACGGGAGGCAGCAGUGGGGAAUAUUGCACAAUGGGCGAAAGCCUGAUGCAGCAACGCCGCGUGAGGGAUGACGGCCUUCGGGUUGUAAACCUCUUUUAGCAGGGAAGAAGCGAAAGUGACGGUACCUGCAGAAAAAGCGCCGGCUAACUACGUGCCAGCAGCCGCGGUAAUACGUAGGGCGCAAGCGUUAUCCGGAAUUAUUGGGCGUAAAGAGCUCGUAGGCGGUUUGUCGCGUCUGCUGUGAAAUCCCGAGGCUCAACCUCGGGCCUGCAGUGGGUACGGGCAGACUAGAGUGCGGUAGGGGAGAUUGGAAUUCCUGGUGUAGCGGUGGAAUGCGCAGAUAUCAGGAGGAACACCGAUGGCGAAGGCAGAUCUCUGGGCCGUAACUGACGCUGAGGAGCGAAAGGGUGGGGAGCAAACAGGCUUAGAUACCCUGGUAGUCCACCCCGUAAACGUUGGGAACUAGUUGUGGGGACCAUUCC